rnacentral:rRNA from 1 species
GAUGAACGCUGGCGGCGUGCCUAAUACAUGCAAGUCGAGCGAACAGACGAGGAGCUUGCUCCUCUGACGUUAGCGGCGGACGGGUGAGUAACACGUGGAUAACCUACCUAUAAGACUGGGAUAACUUCGGGAAACCGGAGCUAAUACCGGAUAAUAUAUUGAACCGCAUGGUUCAAUAGUGAAAGACGGUUUUGUUGUCACUUAUAGAUGGAUCCGCGCCGCAUUAGCUAGUUGGUAAGGUAACGGCUUAACAAGGCAACGAUGCGUAGCCGACCUGAGAGGGUGAUCGGCCACACUGGAACUGAGACACGGUCCAGACUCCUACGGGAGGCAGCAGUAGGGAAUCUUCCGCAAUGGGCGAAAGCCUGACGGAGCAACGCCGCGUGAGUGAUGAAGGUCUUCGGAUCGUAAAACUCUGUUAUUAGGGAAGAACAAAUGUGUAAGUAACUAUGCACGUCUUGACGGUACCUAAUCAGAAAGCCACGGCUAACUACGUG